rnacentral:lncRNA from 1 species
UGGAAACAAGAAAAAUUAAGUAAUUAUCAGUUGAUGAAUAGCCUAAUUAUCUUUUAACUGGACAUUUAUUUUUCACUUGUAGAAUCAAGUAUUAGUCAAAGGAAGGUGGUGAGGAUCAACAAACCAUGUGUAGCCUCCGGCCUUAAAAACAUCAGAUUCAUACUUUUCGACUUUUGUCUUCCGAAGUAAGGAGAAUGACUCUAUCUUGAGGGUGUAAUGCAUUGGAGGUAGAUCUCUUUUGGAUCUUGUGAGUCCUGAAAAAGAAAAGGAAACAUUUUGGAGGCUGAAAACUCAUCUAUGAUUAACGAGAAACCAGCGGCAUGCAAAGCAGAAUUCUUGUAUGAUAGGAUCAACUUUUGGAGGUCAUGCUAUACAAAAGUUAAAAGCAUCAUAUACAUGACAGAUCACUAACAGCAGACUGAAAGAAAAGAGUUCCAAAGUAUGAAUAAGAAGCAUACCUCCGGAAUUCAUUGAAUCGCACUUCUCUUUCUUGUUCUCCUUUGCAGACUCGUGGCCACAGUGGUCAAUUAGACAGAGAGUCUGAACCUAAGGAUGGGCAAGCUAAAUUGGUGAUAGCAUUAGCUGAUAGAGUUUACUCAUAUAGAAAAUUGACAGAUGUAGACAUUAGACUAAUAAAAUGAUCAACUUGAAAAUUUUGACAGUUAAAAAAGACCAUAACUUAGUCGUGAUUAAUAAACAAGUUCACGUGGCUACAGGGAUUAAUUAACAAGUCAUUUUAAAUUUCUUAUAUUUCACUUUAAUAAAGAAUCACUUUAUUAUACCAUAUAAAAAGACAAGCACCGACAGAACCAAGACCGACCCAUUUGGAGAACCUAAUAGAUAAGCUUAAGUUAGACUAUUGGCUAUUGACCUCCAGUCAACUGAAGUAUACUGUUGCAUCGAUUGUAAAUUUCUAACCUCCUUCCCUUUUUUCUCCAGAUCCAAGCAAGCGCAGGGCAAUUUCUUCGACGGCCAGUACACAAAAAGACAAAUUUAUUCCACAGUUUUACCAAUGGAAUUUUGCCGUCCAUUUAAAAUUAUUAUUCCAUUCCAUCAAUGAUUUAAAUACCAAUGUUAUUAUUAAAAUAUUCUUAAUGUUUAUGAGCUUGAAAAUCAAUAAAAUUAAAACAAUAUUAAUUAGUUCACGCAUUCCUUUUUUUUUUUUGAAAGAUAAGCUUAAGUUAGACUAUUGUUUAUUGAUCUCCAGUCAACUGGAGUAUACUGUUGCAUCGACUGUAAAUUUCUAACCUCCUUCCCUUUUUUCUCCCGAUCCAAGUAAACGCAGGGCAAUUUCUUCGACGGCCAGUACACAAAAAGACAAAUUUAUUCAACAGUUUUACCUUCAGAAUUUUUCCAUCCACAUAAAAUUAUCACUCCAUUCCAUCAACGAUGUUAUUAUUAGAACGGCCUCAAUCUUUAUAAACCUAAAAAUCAAUAAAAUUAAAAUAAUAUUAAUUACUUAUUCACAAAUUACAUUAAAAGAAAAAAAAAAAUCAAAUCAAUACAAACUUCGAAAUAAACUUAUAUAUUGAAAGGUCAUCCUUCCAAUCCACCUUAUAUUUACAUGUGAAUUGAUCCCGCUAUGAAAAAACACCACCUCUACAUUAUAAAACCACACAGGAAGAGGUAGCAUUCGUGAGUCGUCCAGACAGUUUUCUUUGGUGGAAGUUUAUCACCAUCAACUAGUUUCAGGAAUACAGAUAGUGAAUCUCCCUUUUAAUCACCAUUUCCUUUGGGAUAAACUUUUAUUCUCCUGAAACGAUGGGAAGAGCCAAAAUUAACAACAAAACUAAAUAUUGGUUCUGAAAUAGAAACGUUGGUGAUUACAAGGCAGCAUACCAACUUCUCCCUCCGGAAGCAAAGGCUUUGGAUAAAUAUGAGCUCUUAUCUAAUUUAGAGAAAUCUUCAAUGUUCCAUGAUAGAGAACCAUUUGCAGGUUUUUUAACCAUAGAAAGUAAUUCCCCUUUUCCAGUUGGUUUGAUAACAAAAAUCUCAGCUCCAAAAGCACAGCCGUCAUUGACAGGGUAUCCUUUAGAAGCAUCAUUGAAUUUUUCAAGGGAAAGCAAUUGAUCGAAAUCCCAUUCGGUCUUCAUCUCAUGAAAACGUUUUACUGAUCCAUCAGAUUCUGCAAAACAGUGGUUCUCCAUUUAAAUUCAAGACUAUAAAGACUAGAAGUAAAAACAUUUGCAGAGUUGCCCAUUUUAUUAGUAAAAGAAUCCACCUCGGACAGUCAAAUAUUUGUUAUUUAUCUUAUAGAGUCUGAUAUGACCAUGUAUGUAGGAUAAUUAAUAGCCAUCUUUCUUUGCUGUAACAGAUAUCCAUUGUAUCCAUUGUAUAUAUACCUCUGCUGCUGUAACAGAACAUACAUGAAAUAAGAAACUUCCUUCUUUCUGUUUCUUCAGAAACAUUGAUACGCCUGGGCUGGGCAUCAUCAUUAUAUAACCUUUUGUUUUAGCCAGAUUCAGUGCUUAUUGAUGUUAUGCAAAUCAUAUAGAUAGAUUCGACAUUCUGGAGGCUGAAAAUUCAGCUAUAACUUGCAUAUCAGAAUUACUUGUAUAUAUCCAGCCACAUAACUAUUAACGAUAGCAUCGACUUUUGUUGGUCACGGUAAACAAAGGUGAGAAACAACAUAUACAGGACAGGACUCACAACAGACUGAAAAAAAGAGAGUUCCAAGAUAAAAAGAAGAAGCAUACCAGAUAAUUUGAUGUGAAUAAUUUAAGGAAGAAAUAGAAAAAGCAAAGAAGAAAAGACAAAGCUCCACUGAUGUGAAUAAUUUAAGGAAGAAAUAGAAAAAGCAAAGAAGAAGAAGACAAAGCUUGGAUAAUUAUGCGAUAUCCUUUAUUGAAUGCUUUUAGGCUUAUUAGUAGGAAUGGACUAUUAGUUGACCUUAUCAAAUCUGACUUCAAAAGUUCCUGCACCAUUUUCUCAAUCUCGGUUUUUUGGUAAUAGGGAUAUCUGUAGGGUCUAGCACUUACUGGUCCUGAAUUUGGCUGCAAUGGUAUAUGAUGGUCAUUGGAUCUUUUGGGGGGUAAACUGGUUGGUGGUUCAAACACAUGAGAGAAUUUGGAAAGAAGGUUAUGCAUAUCAGGAGGGUGUUGUAUUGGGUUAUUACCUGGAUAGGAGAGGAGGAUUUGAAGAAAAAAACCAAUUCCCUGUAGCCCUUGGAACUCUUUGUCUGUGAAAGCUGUGUUGUCAGUGUGCCUUAGUCCAUGCAAGGUGUGUGUUUCUCCCUGCCGUUUGUAGCUCAUCGUGAGCUUUUUGAAAUCCAUUUCAAUGGGGCCAAGGGUUUCAAGCCACUGUACACCCAGCACUAACUGACAAGCAGUGACUGGAAGAAUAUAGUAAUUGGCAGUGACGGUUUGCCCUUGAAUGUUAAGUGUAAGACCUUGGCAUUGUCCAUUGCAGGUGAUCUUCUCCCGGUUAGCAACCAUGACCUGGAACUAUUUGCUGCGGUUUACGGUUAAUCCAAACUUGGAGACCACCGCUUGAUCGAUGAAAUUGUGAGUACUACCUCCAUCAAUGAGCAUUGUCACACUCUUGUUCUUCAAAUUGCCCAACACACGUAAGGUUUAAGGGUGUUCGGCACCAGCAAUGGCAUGAAACGAGAUUUCUGGCAUGUCUUCAGAGUUCAACAUAUAUUGAGAAUCAUCAGUGCUUUCCUCAAGGCUGGUGUGGGAAGUGUCUUCGAUCAUAAACAGCUGAGGGCGUUCGCAGCGAUGACCUGGAAUAAAUUUUUCAUCACAAUAGUAACACAACCCUUUCUCCCUUCGUUCCCUAGCUUCUUGAUUGGUUAUCCUCUGAAAUGAUGUUGGAGAAGGAGUUGCUCGUUGUGAUGGGGGUGGCCUCAAGACUCCUGCUGCUGAAUUGGUGGGCACUCUAGGCGUCAGCAUAGUGUGUGAUGAUCGGUUUGGAAAGCUGGCUUUCUUAUGUAAGAGAUUACGUUCCUCAAGCAGUCGUGCAACUCCAAUUGCAUCUGCCAAUGUGUGAGGCUGUUUGAUCUUGACAUCGAUACGAAUUUCAUCUCGAAGACCAGCAACAAAGCAUCCUAUGAGGAAACCUUCAGGCAGGCCGUAACUUGAUGGGAAAGUCUUUCAAAGGCUUCUUGGUAGGCUGCCACAGUGGUGGUUUGUCUGAGACGCGUGAGGGAUUCUGAUGGAUCUUCAUAUUCUGUGGGUCCAAAGCGUAACAAAAUUGCUUGGACAAAUUCGCUCCACAUGAGGGGUCCUCGAAACUUGUUCAACCAUCUAUGCCAUUGAAGGGCAAUUCCAUCCAAGUGGAAAGAAGCUAAUUGGACUUGUUGAGCAGGUGUAAUAUUCUGAAAAUCAAAAUAUUGUUCUGCUUUAUACACCCAACCUGUAGGAUCAUUGCCAUCAAAACGUGGAAAGGAGAGCUUGAGUUGUGGUUAUGGCUGACCAUUGGUGUGAAGUGAACGGGAAGUGUGGAAUUGUGAUGAUCCUUUUGAUGCGAAUGGGUUGAUUUCAGGAGGGUUAGGAUUUGGAUUGCGGCUGGUGUGAAGAGCUUGUAGUUCAGUUAACACUGCUUGUAAAGCAGAGUUUACCUGAUCAAAACUUGAUUCAUGCCUAGCUAAGGCUUCAUUGACUUCAUUGCGGAAUUCGGCAUUGCUUUUUCCACGAGUGUCCAUAAUGAUAACCAGGCUCUGAUACCACUGAUGUGAAUUACUAUUAACGAUAGCAUCGACUUUUGUUGGUCACGGUAAACAAAGGUGAGAAACAACAUAUACAGGACAGGACUCACAACAGACUGAAAAAAAGAGAGUUCCAAGAUAAAAAGAAGAAGCAUACCAGAUAAUUUGAUGUGAAUAAUUUAAGGAAGAAAUAGAAAAAGCAAAGAAGAAGAAGACAAAGCUCCACUGAUGUGAAUAAUUUAAGGAAGAAAUAGAAAAAGCAAAGAAGAAGAAGAAGACAAAGCUUGGAUAAUUAUGCGAUAUCCUUUAUUGAAUGCCUUUAGGCUUUUUAUACAGGAAUGAAUAACAAUAAUGCUGAAAAGAAGGAAAGUGAUCCCUGAAAGGAAUCCUUAUUAUCUGCAAUCUUGACUUGACUUAGUCUAUAACAACUUGGCGAUAAGCAUGAUCCACGUCCAUGUAUCUCAACGUGCCCCUGCUUCUGCCACAUUCACCUCUAUUGCUAUACUCACGCCCACAUUACUACGUGUGCACAUAACAUAAUUCUUGGUUCCUAAAAUCUAGGAAUCAAUUAUUUGCAACUAGUAUAAAAGCAGAGUUUUAUGCACUAAUAAAACAGUAAAAUAUACAAGAUAAUUCUUCUCAAUUUUCUCUGCAAACUUGCUUAUAAUUUUCUUCUCAUUAACUCCAGAAAACAAACAUGGUAUCAGAGCACUAAAAUUGAUUCUUAAGAGGAGCAUAAAUUGUGAAAUAGAUUGAUUAAACUAUUGCUUACUCAAAAAUGGUAGGAUCAAGCUCUGCUGGAGGAGAUCUAAGAACUCCACAGUUCAAUGGCACAAAUUAUGAUUUUUGGGCUGUAAAAAUGGAGACAGUCCUUAUAGCAUUUGAUCUAUAGGAUGUAAUAGAAGUUGAAAUACAAACUGAACAAUCACUUGAGGUUGUAAAUGGAUCAGGCGAUGAAGAGAGUGAAGCUGAGCAAACUACUUUGCAAAUAUCCACUACCUCCAAAGAAAACAAAAUUAAGAAUGCAAAGGCAUUAAGCUUCAUACAAGGAGCAUUAACAGAUGACCUUUUUCCCACGCAUAAGAAACGAGAAGACUGCAAAAGGAGCUUGAGACAUUUUAAGCUGAGAAUUCAGAGGAGAUAAAAAGGUUAGAGCUGUUAAACUUCAAGUAGUUAGAGUAGACUUUGAAUACAUGAGAAUGCCAAAGGUGAAAGUUUAGAUGGAUAUCUAGCUAAAUUCUUUGCAACUGUGAAUAACCUGAAAUCAUUAGGAGAAGAUGUAUUAGAAACCAGAAUUGUGCAAAAACUGCUAAUGAGUCUAAGUAGAAGAUAUAAGUCCAUCGUGUCUAUCAUUGAAGAGACACGAGACCUUGAUGUUCUAAGAGCAGAAGAGGUCAUUGCAUCUGUCAAAGUCUAUGAUAAGAGGGAGGAUCUACAUGAUGAAAGGGACAAGUUAAUAGGAACAAAGAAAGCCUUUAGCAGUUUAAAGGUUGGAAACAAUCAAGCCUACAAUUCACACAAGGGUUUCUAAGGCAGAUCUACUAAAAAAUGGCAAUCACAAGACAGGAGGGGAUCAAAUUGGACUCUAAACAGAAACUUAAACAACUACAGCAAUUCAAGUUGGAACAACACUGCUUGGGGAAGUAGUCAAGCAAGUGUAAAACCACAGUGUCAAGUCUGCUAGAAGCAACACUUUGGAUUGUGUAGACACAAAGGAAAACCAAGAUGUGGAAGAUGCAAUCAGUUUGGCCAUAUUGCAAAAGACUGUGAAAGUCACAGUCACAAACAACUAGCAAAUUAUGCAAAAGAAGAAAGAGUAACCACUAGAACCAUGUUCUAUGCUUUCCAUUCUAUAAGCUUGUAAGAUAGAAAGGUAUGGUUUGUGGACAGUGCCUGCAGCAACCACAUGACAUCUCAAGAAUCUAAACUAAUCAACAUCGAUAGAACAGUGACCGGCAAAGUAAAGAUGGGCUCUGGAGACCUUGUGCAAGCAAUUGGAAAAGGCACACUGGUGGUGGAGACUCAGCAUGGGAAGAGAUACAUAAAAGAGGUGCUGCUUGUUCCCGGAUUAGAUGAAAACCUAUUAAGUGGAGGCUAGAUGAUAGAGCAUGGUUAUUAUAUCCUUUUGGGGGAAACAAAUCGGUGAUAUUUAUGAAAGCCUCAACAAUAUUGUAGCAAUAAUGAUCAUACGAGGAAAUCGAUGCUUUCCCCUUUCACUUAAGUCUAUGACACCUGCAGCAAGGAAAUCAUCAGUGAUUGAGGAUUCCUGGAUAUGGCAUAGAAGACUGGGAAACUUGAACUUUGCUAGCAUGAAAAAGAUGGAGCAGAAGGAGAUGGUAUGUGGACUUCCUGUAUUGACAGGAGUGGAAGAAGUGUGUGUAGGCUGUGUUUCAGGAAAACACCACAAGGAGAAAUUUGACAAAGAACAAACAUGGAGAGCAAGCUAUCCACUAGAGUUGAUACACACAGACUUGUGUGGACCAAUGCAAAAUGAAUCAGUUGGGGGGAACAUAUACUUAUUACGUUUAUUGACGACUAUUCAAGAAUGUGCUAGGUAUACUUCCUCAGGAAUAAAUCUGAUACACUUAAUGUGUUCAAGAAAUUUAAAGCAUUUGUUGAACUGUAAAAUGGGUAUAAAUUGAAGAAGUUGAGAAGUGAUAGAGGUGGUGAAUAUACCUCAAAUGAGUUUCAAGAAUUCUAUGUAAAACAAGGAAUGGAGAGGUAGCUGAUAGUUGCAUACUCUCCUCAACAAAAUAGAGUUGCAGAGAGGAGAAACAGAACAAUCUGUGAGAUGGCAAGGUCCAUGUUGAUAGAGAAAGAAAUGCCAGUGAUUUUAUGGGCAGAAGCUAUGAGUACAACUGUGUAUCUUCAGAACAUAUGUUAUACAACAUCAGUUAUGAAAAAAACUCCAUUUGAAGCCUUCAUAAGAAGAAAGCUAGGAGUCAAGCAUCUGAAGGUGUUUGGUUGUUUGUGCUACACAUAUAUCCCAUCAUCACUAAGGCAUAAAUGGGAUAGCAAAGCUGGAAAGGGAGUCUUUGUUAGAUAUGAUAGUUGUGAAAAGGGGUAUAGAGUGUAUGAUCUGAAAUCUAAGAAGAUUGUUCUCUCAAGAAGUGUGAUCUUCAGUAAGGAUAAGUCAUGGAAUUGGGGAAGAAAUAUGAUGAAUCAAACACAUAUGCCUCUUAACCUUGAAUGAGAUGAAGUUGAAGGUGAAAAUCCUGAAAAAAUACUACAAUCCAACCCGAUAAUGUUGAAUGUUUCCAUCAAAAUUCUACAGUUGGAGAGUUAGUUGAGAAUAUUGGCAAUGAUAACAAUCAACAAUCUACACCUAUCUCUACUCCAGUAAAAUUAAAAACCUUGGAAGAUAUAUAUGCAAGGUGUCACAUGUGCAUCAUAGAACCUGAGAAUUAUCAAGAAGCUACUGGAGAUAAAGCCUGGCAGGAGGCUAUGAAGGAAGAAUUGGAAAUGAUAAAGAAGAACAAUACUUGGGAAUUGAUGGAGAGACCAAUUGACAAACCUGUUAUAUGAGUGAAAUGGGUGUACAAAACUAAACUUCAUCUUAAUGGAACAAUAUAAAAACACAAGGCUCGCCUUGUAGCAAAAGGAUAUGAAUAGAAAUCUAGAGUUGAUUACAAUGAAACCUUUGCACCAGUAGCAAGAUUAGACACAAUUCGGACUCUUAUUGCACUUGUAGCACAAAAGGGGUGGAAGUUGUUUUAGUUGGAUGUUAAGUCAGCAUUCCUAAAUGGUGUUCUUAAGGAAGAUGUGUAUGUUAAGCAGCCUGAAGGGUUUGAAGUAAAGAAUGCAGGACACAAAAUCUACAAACUAAGGAAGGCCUUAUAUGGAUUAAAGCAAGCACCAAGGGCCUGAUACAAUGAGAUUGAUGCAUACCUGUUUAUGUGCAAAUUCAAAAGGAGCACAAGUGAAGCUACUUUGUAUACAAGGUCUGAACGGGAAGGUAACUUGAUCAUUGUUUCAAUCUAUGUUGAUGACAUUGUAUAUACUAGCAGCAGUGAAAGGAUGUUUAGUGAAUUUAAAAGAGAAAUGAUGCAGAGAUAUGAGAUGUCUAAUCUUGGAUUUCUUCACCAUUUUCUUGGCAUGGGAAUAAUGCAAACUGAUCAAGGGGUAUUCAUUCAUCAAAGCAAGUAUGCCAAAUCCUUGCUUAGUAAGUUUGGACUUGAUGACUGCAAACCAGUCUCCAUUCCUUUGGCCACUGGUGAGAAAUUGAAGGUGGAUGGAAGUGAGUUGGUUGAUGAAGGACUCUAUAGAAAAAUAGUAGAAAGUUUACUAUAUUUGACAGCAACAAGACUUGAUCUAAUGUAUGCUACCAGUUUACUGUCAUGGUUCAUGAAUAGACCUACCAAAAUUCAUAUAAGAGUUGCAAAAAGGGUCCUAAGAUAUGUGCAAGGAACUCUCAGCUAUGGCAUUGAAUACGUAAGAGAUCAGUCAGCAACUCUUAUUGGAUUUUAUGAUGAAGAUUGGGCAGGAAGUGAAGAUGAUAUCAGGAGCACUUCUGGCUAUGCAUUCAGCUUUGGGAGCGGAGCAUUCUCCUAGGCCUUUGUGAAACAGAACACAAUGGUAUUAUCAACUGUAGAAGCUGAGUAUGUCUUAGCAUCUGAAGCAACAACUCGGGCUAUUUGGUUAAGAUUUGUUCUUGAUGAUUUUGGUGAAAUGCAAGCUGAAGCAACACUUUUGUUCUGUGAUAACAUGUCAGCAAUUUAAAUGGCCAAGAAUCCUGUUUUUCAUCAAAGAACAAGACACAUAAAUAGGAAGUAUCAUUUCAUAAGGGAUGCUCUACAAGAAGGAGUAAUAAAUGUGAAAUUCUGCAGAAGUGAAGAACAACUUGCAGACAUCUUCAUGAAAGCAUUGCCUAAAGAUAGAUUCAAGCAACUAAGGUUGAAGCUUGGAGUUAAACCAGUAAACAGCUUAGGAGAGGCUGUUGAAAGCUAAGCUGGUUACUUGUUUUUAAAGUCUUAGAAGAAGACUCUACAAUUAAAAUGGAAGAAAUUCUGUUAAAAUAGUUGAAGAAGCAGUUAAAAUAGUUAUUGUAGUUAUAGUCAGUUUUACUAUUAAAAAUUUGUUACAAACCGGUUCUUACAUGUGUAAGAAUCGUAGCCCUCCAUUAAUGGAUGAAUGAGAUGAUCUUGGUUCUUAAAAUCUAGGAAUCAGUUAUUUGCAACUUGUAUAAAAGCAGAGUUUUAUGCACAAUGAAACAUUAAAAUAUACAAGAUAAUUCUUCUCAAUCUUCUUUGCAAAUAGGUGAUAGCAUUACCUAGUUGACGGGUUAGAUAAAGAAUUUUAUAAGAUCAAGUUGAUAUGAUUUAUAGUUGAUUACUAUCAACUCAAUCCUUUUCCCUAAAAAAAUCUAACCUUAACCGGCAAGCCUGGCAUAGUGGUUUACGGGCAUGGAUAAAAAUUUUAAUGACCAUAAUUUUAGUACAGCUUAUAAGGAUAUCAACGGCUCUACUUCUACCAAGUGUUAGAAGAUUAUAGACUGAUAUUGUUAGAAUGCUGUUAGUAUUGUUUGUUAGUUAAGAGAGUUUGUUAGCAUUGUUUCAGUGCCUAAAGAAAGACUAGAUACCAUGCAUUAUCUUUCUAAUAUAGCAUAUAUAAACAAAGGAUUAGUUAUGUUAACAAUUAAUAAAAAGAAUAAUAAAACAGUGCUAGAAUUCAUCUUCUGCUUCUUUAUGUAACAGAAUCAAUCUCUAUUCUUCUUCCUUUUCUAUUCUGUGUUUUCUUCAUUUAUGUUCCUUUUCUGUAUAAACUCUACUGUCUUUCACAGCUUUCCAUUUGAAAAAAAAAAUAGUUUUGGAUCUCUUUUGAUCCUUUUAUCAAAGAACCAAUUCAACCUAAAAGAUUAAUGGGAAUAAUAGUGAUAUUUGAACCCAUGACCACUUAGUCAUCAAUGCUCUGAUACCAUGUUAAAUAACCUUCUCAACUCAAUAUAUAGUUUAAGCUAUUAGGUAAAGUCUUAAGAUAUGAUUUAAGAUUUAAUUAUUUUAUAAUACCUUUCUUCAAGUGAAAAUCCUUUGGGCAUGAAUUUGUUAAAGAACCAUCUCAACCUAGAAGCUUAAGUUGUUAACUGAUGGGUGAGGUCUCAAUAUAUGAUUUAUAUUAUUCUCUAACACACCCCUUCAAGUAAAAGCCUUAAAGACUUGAAACUUGCAUAGAUCCACAUUACUUUAUACAUAAUUUUUAUCAAAUAAAUAGGGAUGAUGAGAUUCGAGCUCGUAAUUGCUUGGUCAUUAAGGCUAUGAUACCAUGUCAAAGAACCAAUUUAACCUAAAAGCUUAAACUGUUGGGUAAGCUUAAACCUAACCCAUAUGUCCCUUUUUGUUCCUUCUCUAAAAAUCUCAUCUUUAUCACUUGUGCAAAUUCUUCUCCAUGAAUAUAUGCUCCCAAGGUUUCAUUUUCCAAAAACAUCAUUUGUCACUUUCUUAACCUCUUCUCCAAUGAAUUUAGGCUUACAAGGAUUCCAUCUUGCAAGGAACAAAUAUGGUGUGACCAAUUAAGAUAGUAGGUAUAAUCAGAAACCCAUAUUCAAGAGAUUGAGUUUGUAAUUUAGAGAGAAUAUUUAUUAUUUUAUUAACUAAUUUUAUAGAAUAAUUUUGUAGAUCCAUUGCAAAUAAUUUGUUAAAUAUGGUUGUCAUCACAUGCUAAUGUUUCUAAUUCUUAAUGUAAUGUUCUUUAUCUUUAUGGUUCUGUGAUGAUUCCAUUGUUGGUUGGUUAGGUAGUAAGGUUUUUUUAGGGUUUUGGUUUUUUUGUUUUGCCGGGUGUAUGUGUGUGGUUUUUCAGAGGAAAAAUAUGGGUAAUGUGAGAUAGGGCCCGUAAAUAAAAGUUAGAUCUUGGAUUUAACUAGCGUGUUGUGAAAGAUGUCUAGUUGGUUAACAUUUUUUUACAUAUUACAUCAUUUUCACUCAUCUUCUUCAACAUCACUUCUCUCUAGUGAAAUUGUUCUUGUUUAGUACUGUUAAACAAAGUAGAGUAGAGAUAGUUGUCGCACCUGACAUCGUAGCGGCCCUAAAAAUAAUUCUCGAAUUAUAGAAAAAGAACAGAUUUUUAGCAUCUUGUUCUUUUAGGAGGAAAAUAUCUUGUUUAAGGAGUCGCCACCUAGUAUUAUGGUCACUAAGAACCCUAACUGGUCAACAUAGAUUCUAUGACUCGGGAUUGGUUACGUAAAAGGAAAGAUAUUAUCACCCCUUAAACGUUCUGCCUGAGACAGACUGCAUUACUGAUUUUUGUCUUAAAUUGCUAAAUGUUGAUUAGUUUAUGCUAUGAUAAUUUGCUUAUAAUAUUCCUGACUCUGACACCAGUGAAUAUUUACAUAAAAUAAAUUUAUUUUUACACAAGCACAUUUUUUUUUCUAGCUAAAUAAAAUAAAAUACAAUGAAUAAAAAUAAUAUAAAUUUAAGCUGGUAUUUUUAUUCCUAGCUCUAGCAUUAGUAAAUAAACCAAUAAAUUUAUAUUAUUUUUAUUUAUUCAUACACAUUUUUUAUUUUUAUUUUUAUUUUUUUCUACUUUUUUAUUUUUUAUUUUUUUUAUUUUUUUAUUUUUUUUGGGUUGGGCCCAGCUCAGCCCAUGUGGCUGGGCUGGACCCAGCAGGCUUAGCCGGGUCACAGGCUUCACCCGGCUGGCCAUUGAAAGCACGCGUGAACUUAUUCACAUGUGCAUGACCCGGUUGAGUAGUGAAUUAAUGUUAGUGUAGCGUGAAUUAUAAUGCAGGAGGGUAGAGAUGAGGGACGACUUACCUGGUUCAACAAGGCGUAGCCGGAGAUGCUGUGCUGGACGAACGAUGCUGCCUCCUCUUGUUCUUCCUCUCUUCUUCCUUCUCUUCCUCCUUUUCUUCCCCGGUUUGUCCCUGUAUUUCUCUCCUGGAGUGCCCUGUUUCUGGUGUAGUGGCUGCUGAAGAUGGAGCUCUAGAGUUGUUGCUUCUGGAGGCGACGAAAAUGGUUUUGACGUUGGUGGUGACUCUUGUCUACUGCUUUCCUUGGUCUUCCUUAUGUGUUUCCUCUGCUCAGGACAUCAACGAUGGUGAUGAAGAUGUUAGGUGUUGUUAGUUGAAUGGAAGCUUGCUCCCCUAUUUCUGUUUUUAUAAGUCUUCCCUAGUUUUCCUUUCCUAAGUUGUUGCCUGUGAUAUUAUUGGAAAACAAAGACGCAAAAGAAGACAAUGGUCGAUGGUGAUGGAGGUCUGAACCUAGGAGAUGGGGGUUCUUCCCCUGUGUUUUUCUUGUUGUUGUUCGUCUCUGUGUCUUUUUUUCUGUUCUCUGUUUUGGGUCUCCUCUUCUCUCAGUUUCCCCCCCUGUUCUUUCAUCUCCUCUGUUUCUUUGAGAAGAAACCAGGGGAACGAAAGUCUGGCCUUUCUUUUCCUUCAGUCCCUCUCGGUUCUGCCCUCUUCUUUUCUCCCCCUCAAAAACCCUGCGCUCUUUCAUCUUCUCUGGCUUUAUAGCCAGAGAAUACCAACCAUUUGAAACGGCUUCCAUCAUUUACUCCAGCAACGGCUCCUGAGGAGGAAGACGAAGAAGGCGAUUAACAAAUUCUAAAAAAUGACGUUGUUUGUGUGGUGAGAUAUCCAUUUUCAAUCUGGUCACUGAAGUUCUGAAAUCAUGCAAUCAAGUCCCUAGGCAACUUAUAAUUGGACCCCUGUACUUUCGCAUCUUUUACAAGCUAGUCGUUGGACUUUAAUCUGCUGCAAUUUUGCCCCAAAUUAGCCCCAAACUUUGAUAUUUUUUCAAUUAAGUCCCUAAUUUCAUUAAUUAAAUUAAAUCCAAGUCCAAUUAAGUCCCGAACUUAUCAAUUCUCCAAUUAAACCCUUGAUUGGAUUAAUUAAAUCAAUUUCAAGCUUAAUCAAGUCUCAAAACUUAUCAAUUCUCCAACUAAACUCUUGACUUGGUUAAUUAAACUUGUAAAAAAUUUAAUUAAAUCUUUAAACUUUCAAUCAUUUUGCCCUUAACCCGAAUUUUAAUUCAUUCUUCAUUUAUUUCAUCAUUCAUCAUUUUUUUUAUCAUUUUCAGUAAAUAAAAAAAAUAAUAAUAAUUAAAAUAAAAGGGUCAAAAUUUGGGUUAUGACAAUUGCCCCCUUUUUAUAAUAUUUACGAUGCAAAGAUAUUGGAAAAUUUUAUUUUUCUUUAGCUUUGUGUACUAAAUUUAUAAAGAUAAGUUGACACAUAAAGACCUUUUGUUUUUUUUUUUUAGAGUCUUGAAAACUUUAAAAAUAGUAGAUUGACAUAUAACUUUUGCAGGGAGAUGUAGAAAUCAAGAAACAAGUCAUUUGAAAGAUGAAUCACUUUUUAUUUUUUAUUUUUUUUUAGAUGGAUCAAAUUGGUUUAGGUGAUCUAUCCAAGUGAAAAAAAAUAUUCAAAAAAAGGAUCUUAUUGUGAUGGGUAACCUAUCCAAGUAAAAAAAAAAGGAAAAUAAGGACUCGAAGGCGCACUCAAAAGAAUGAUCGAGGGUUCGAAAAUGCACUCAAAAGGAAGCGAAGGCUCAAAAACGCCCUCGAAAUGAAUAAUUGCUGUCAUGGCUUUUCAGUUCUUUCUUUUAAAACCUCUGGGUGCUUGUUUCCUAUGGUUGUGGAUGCUAUUUACUUUUAGGAAGUCAUAACUUUUAUUUCGUAGUAUAACUAAAACUAGGUUGCGAAAAUAUCGAUUUCACUUUAGGAAAGUCUGAAUGUCUACGAUCCAUGUACAAGAAAUAUGUGACAUGUAAAGAUUAUAAAUUUGGUUGAAGACCAUGCAGGGAUCUCUGGGUGUUGAAUUUCCUUCAUCAUCAAGAUAAAAACACAGUGCUAGCAAGUUUGCAAUGGUUUGUGUUUUGUUACAAUCAUCUAUUUAUCAACUUCUAGUGCUAUUGUUGCAAAAUCUGAAAGUAAAGGUGUUCAUUAGGAUAGUGUGAUUGAUCUAGUCUGUUUAUGUGUGCCUUCUGACACUCAUCUAUUGAUCAUUUUUUACCGGUUCAAGUAGUUAUCUCAAGCUUAUGAAGUCCUUAGUGAUCCAGAUAAAAGAGAAAUUUAUGAUCAAUAUGGUGUAGAUGCACUUAAGGAGGGAAUGGGAGGAGGUGGUGGUGGUCAGAGUCCAUUUGAUCUUUUUAAAUCAUUUUUUAGCAGAGAUGGUUUCGGCGGUGAGGCUGAGAGACUACUUGAUGCAUUUUUCUUUUUAUUGACUAAUUUUCUUAGAUAAAGGUUCUCAAGUAUCUGUAUUUUCUGACGCAAGGUGAAGAUGGAGUGCAUUCUCUGAGGGUUUGCUUAGAGGACUUGUACUCCAUAAAAGUCUCUUUCUAGAAACAUUUCGUGUGCCAAAUGUAAAGGGUAUGUUCUUUUACCUUAACUUUAUUAGUUCGCUUGAAAGUUGUUUUUGCCUCACCAGUUCUCUUUUAAUAGUUUGCAAGUUGCAGUUUCAUUGAUGAGAUUGGCUGUAUUUUUCUUCAUACCUCACCGCCCUGCUUUUUGUUCUGUUUUUUCUAUACCAGCCUGGGUUUGUUUUAAACCUUUUUGUCUAGUGUGUAGGUGGAUGGACUUUUGUUUUUAUAUGUAUGCUAAUAUUUCAGGAAAGGUUCAAAGAGCGGAGCCUUGGGACAUGUCAUGGCUGCCAAGAUUCCGGAAUGAAAGUUCCAAUUCAACAGAUCAGAUUGGGCAUGGUCCAACAAAUGCAGCAGCAUGUGUGUACCAUAGGAUGCCCUUGGACAAGAUUUUAGUUUUUAAGAGUUCCAAGAACCAGCAUUCUUGAGGUUUUUGUUUUCUGUUCCUGCUAACUGGUGCAAGAAUGGGCACAUUUUAUUAUCAAUUUUCUGAAUGCCCACAUUGAUGCUGUUGCGACACUUCAGAAUCAAUUUUGCGAAUGCAUUUGAAGAUAGUGGGUUGAUCUGCAAUUUAAUUCUCGCCAUUAGACUUCAAUAUAAUUUUUAGUUCUUCGUUGUUCCAAUAAUGUCUAUAGUUAACUAUAUUCGAUUUAUAAUCUGUAGUGUUUCUAGUUAGAUUAUUUGCCCUCACUUUAUGUUGGGUAUUUAUGGUUUGUGUUAUCUAUCUCCGGUUAGUCUCAUGUUUUUGACAAUAAAAUUAAGAUGUUCCAAUAUUCAUAAUAGACAUAAAAAGAUUCAUAGAUGUUUUAUUGCGUUCAUUCCCUUAACUCAAAGGACGUAAAUGAAGAAACAAAGAUGGAUCCUAUUUUACAAGAAAUAAGAAAGUUCUUUAUCCAAAGAUUGGGAAGUUCACUGCACGAAGGCAGCUGCUGUGCGAAUUGGCUAGCUAAUUAUAGUCACCGUUUGGAGCUAGGAGCUCACCCUUUUAGCAACUUUCCAGAGGGCAUUUUCUUCUUUUAUUUUUGCUGAUAUGGUGUGGAUAUCCUUACCCUGUAGUGGUGUGUUGUUUUCCAAGUUUUAGGUUACGGCACGUUUACUACAACAAAAAGAAAAGAAAAGAUAAAGAUAGACAAUGUCCAUUUCUGCGGCGUCCUUGAUAGAAAUCAAGGCAUGAUUUUUCAUAGAAAGGCCACUUAACAAUAAAACAGAGAGGUUAAUUAUUGAUACGAAUAACAGAGUGACGAUUUCAGUGUGAGAAAUCGUGCAAUUUCAUGAGAAAAGCUUGGACACAGACAAGGUAAGAAUUUCAGCUUCUACAAUUAAAGUGUCAUUCCUAACAUAACCCUUGGCGACUUCACGGAGAUCUCCCAGUGGCAUGAACUUGGGGAAACCACGUGUAUGCUCGGAGGAGGUAAACCAACGUGACUCUGCAAGAAAAAAAAAAUUAGAAACUUUAGUCAAUAAGAAGUUCAAUAACUAAAACUGGCAAAGAUGGAAAACUUUUCAUGCCUGUAAGCAGCCGUAGAGAACACAACUACUGUAGGCAGCAUGAGUAAUGUUAAUUUUCCAAAAAUAUUUUUCUCGACAUUACUUCUUAUAAAAAAAUCUCAUGCAUUUAAGUAUAUCUAACAAAAAACCUAUAUGAUUACUUUUUUCUUCGACAUGUUUGCCAUGGCGUUGGUCCAAAACUCGUAGCUUGUAUUCUGCCCACACAGUUUUCUUUCGAGGAAGUUUGCCACCAUCAACUAGUUCCAGGUAUACAGAUAGUGAAUUUCCCUUUCCAUCAUCAUAUCCUUUGGGAUAAACUUUUAUUCUCCUGAAACGAUGGGAAGAGCCAAAAUUAAAAACAAAACUCAAUAGUGGUUCUGAAAUAGAAACGUUUGUGAUUACAAGGCAGCAUACCAACUUCUGCCUCCGGAUGUAAAGGCUUUGGAUAAAUAUGAGCUCUUAUCUAAUUUAGAGAAAUCUUCAAUCUUCCAUUUUAAAGAACCAUUUGCAGGUUUCUUAACCAUAGAAAGUAAUUCCCCUUUUCCAGUUGGUUUGAUAACAAAAAUCUCAGCUCCAAAAACACAGCAGUCAUUGAAAAGAUAUCCAUUAGAAGCAUCAUUGAAUGUUUCAAGGGAAAGCAAUUUAUCGAAACCCCAUUCGGUCUUCUCCUCAUGAAAACUUUUUACUGAUGCAUCCGAUUCUACAAAACAGUGGUUCUCCAUUUAAAUUCAAGAACAUAAAGACAAGAAAGUGAAAACAUUUGCAGCGUUGCACAUAUUAUUAGUCAAAGAAUCCACCUCGGACUGUCAAAUAUUUGUCAUUUAUCUGAUCAAACACAAACAAUUUGAAUUCGGUGGUGACCUUCCACCGAUGAGCAAGUUUGCUUGUAUUUUCUAUUUGCAGGUAAAGGGAAACAAAGCCUUUCCCUUUUCCUUUUGUGUUUCCAUUUGGGUAAAGACACAACCUCCUGGAAACAAAAAAAAUUAAUUGUCAGUUGAUGAAUAGCCUAAUUAUCUUUUAACUGGACAUUUAUUUUUCACUUGUAGAAUCAAGUAUUAGACAAAGGAAGGUGGUGAGAAUCAAACAAACCAUGUGUAGCCUUCGGCCUCAAAAACAUCAGAUUCAUACUUUACGACUUCUGUCUUCAGAAGUAAGGAGAAUGACUCUAUCUUAAGGGUGUAAUGCAUUGGAGGUAGAUCUCUUUUGGAUCUUGUCAGUCCUGAAAAAGAAAAGGAAACAUUUUGGAGGCUGAAAACUCAUCUAUGAUUAACGAGAAACCAGCGGCAUGCAUAUCAGAAUUCUUGUAUGAUAGGAUCAACUUUUGGAGGUCAUGCAAUACAAAAGUGAAAAGCAUCAUAUACAUGACAGAUCACUAACAGCAGACUGAAAGAAAAGAGUUCCAAAAUAUGAAUAAGAAGCAUACCUCCGAAAUUCAUUGAAUCGCACUUCUCUUUCUUGUUCUCCUUUGCAGACUCGUGGUCAAUUAGACAGGGAGUCUGAACCUAAGGAUGAGCAAACUAAAUUGGUGAUAGCAUUAGCUGAUAGAGUUUACUUAUAUAGAAAUUGACAGAUGUAGACAUUAGACUAAUAAAACGAUCAUCUUGAAAAUUUUGACAGUUAAAAAAGACCAUAACUUAGUCGUGAUUAAUUAAUAAACAAGUUCACAUGGCUACAGGGAUUAAUUAACAAGUCAUUUUAAAUUUCUUAUAUUUCACUUUAAUAAAGAAUCACUUUAUACCAUAUAAAAAGACAAGCACCAAGACCAAGACCGACCCAUUUGGAGAACCUAAUAGAUAAGCUUAUUAGACUAUUGGCUAUUGACCUCCAGUCAACUGAAGUAUACUGUUGCAUCGAUUGUAAAUUUCUAACCUCCUUCCCUUUUUUCUCCAGAUCCAAGCAUACGCAGGGCAAUUUCUUCGACGGCCAGUACACAAAAAGACAAAUUUAUUCUACAGUUUUACCAAUGAAAUUUUGCCGUCCACUUAAAAUUAUCACUCCAUCCCAUAGAUAAUUUAAUCAUUGAUGUUGCGGCCUCAAUAUUUAUGAAUCUAAAAAUUAAUAAAAUUAAAACAAUAUUAAUUAGUUGUUCACGCAUUCCCUUUUUUUUUUUUGGUAAGAUAAGCUUAAGUUAGACUAUUGGCUAUUGACCUCCAGUCAACUGAAGUAUACUGUUGCAUUGAUUAUAAAUUUCUAACCUCCUUCCCCUUUUUCUCCCGAUCCGAGUAAACGCAGGGCAAUUUCUUCGAUAGCCAGUACACAAAAAGACAAAUUUUUCCAAACCACUAUAAUAUUUUGCAGUUUUAUGCAUGAAAUUUUCUCGUCCAUAUAAAAUUAUCACUCCAUCCCAUCAAUCAAACUAACAGAGCGGCCUCAAUGUUUAUGAAAAUAAAAAUCUAUAAAAUUAAAAAAAUAUUAAUUAAUUAUUCACAAAUUACAUUUAAAGAAAAAAAAACUCAAAUCAAUACAAACUCCGAAACAAACUUACAUUGAAAGGUCUUCCUUUCAAUGUGCCUCGUACUUGCGUGUGAACUGAUCCCAUUAUGAAGGAACACCGCCUCUUCGUUGUUGAACCGCACUGGAAGAGGUAGCAUCGUGAGUCAUUGCAGGUGUCUCUUCUUGUUCGGCAUCUAAUGACACUUCAUCAUCGCUUCUAGAAGAACUAGCUCUGACCAUGAGCUCAUGACGUGAUGUUGAUUUUGUUCUAUUUAUCUAAGGAUAGGUUCUAUUCAUUAAGUGAGACAAAUGGUAGGUUGAUUAUCUAGUCUCAAAAAAAGUCUCGUAUCUGUCUAAUGACGAUCUUCAUAAAGACAGUGUAGGGGCAUUGCAAGGAACAGUUAAGGCACGUAUGCCCACUAUUACCAAGCAGGCACUCGGAUAUAAGUUGGAUGUUUUACACAUCUGAACCCUGACCAAUAGUUAUAGGGCAGAUCAUUAAUUCUCCACUUAAUUUAGAAGCUUGUGUGUGCAUUCCAAAAAAUUAAAGCAUGUGAUGCAUUGGGCAGUUCUAUACAAUGCAUGAACAUAAAUGUACAGAAAUUAAAGCAUGUAAAAUAAAUAAAUAAAUAAAAUAAGCUUAUUAACAGAAAACACGCAAACCAAACAAAACACAGUUAUCAAACAAAAACAAAGCUUAGUCCACAAGGUCCCCAACGGAGUUGCCAUUCUGUCUCACGUGUGCGGCGUCGCGGCGAAAACAUCCAACCUCAAAAUGUGUUAUCUUCUAUCUAUUUGGAAAAUAUUAGGAGACAAUGAAUUAUUUUCUCUUAUCAAUAAAAAAUAUGGGGAUUGAUUACGUAAAGAGAAGGUAUUAGCACCCCAAAUAAGUCCUACCUAAGGUAGGCUACAUUGUUUUAUUGUCUGAUAAAAUCUAAGGUCUUGUCGUGUUUUCUAGUUGUUGGUUUGUUUAUGAUUUAAGAAAAGUUCUCCUCGGUAAGGAGGUCCUUGUCUUAUCGGGUAAAAACUUAAUCGUUCUAACCUCAACAAAAAAAAUUUAAUAUCCAGAAUAUAUCUUAUAUAUAAGUUCAUAACCCUGGAUAUUAAAAAAAACAAAAUAAAUUUUUUUGAAAAUUUUGAAAUAUUGGUCUUGUUCUCAUGACUUUAAUAAACUGGUUAUUAAAGCCAAAAUACAUGCUAAUACAUAUUUUUUGAAAUUUUAUUUGUUGUAUGAAAAUACAAUAUGAUUUUUUUAUUUUUUUAAGAGACUUGGUCGUAUGUAUAAAAACAUAUUUUUUUCAUUUUUUUUUGUUUUGAAAAAAACUAGGUAUUGUAAUACCAAAUUUGUAUCUUUACAGUCUAAAAAUACAAACUAAUAUUAAUAAAAAAAUACAGUAAAAAAUUGCAGAAAAUCACAGAUUUUUAAAAUAAUUUUUGAAUAUUUUUUUUCCCGAGCUAGGCCCAGCCCGACCCAUGUGGCAGGGCUGGACCCAGCUGGUUUCUACCCACAAGUACCCAGCUACAGUCAUGGUGUAAUUAAUCUUCACGUACACAGUGUUUGAUAUUUCCCAUCCAACGGCUGCGAUGACACACAUCUAAUCAGACUCUUGAAUCUCUGUUUUUAUCGUAGUUAUAAAACUCAAUAUAAAAUUAAUUUAACUCAAAAUCUAAAUAGUGAGUUGGGUUGAUAUAAGAAAAUUGAACCGGUUUUAAAUUAUAUAAAAAAUUUUUGUAACAGCUCAUUUUAACCAUUUAUUUAAAAUUUUGCCAUUCUCAACUACGAUAAUUACCAAAUUAUACUAUUUUAUUAAAACAAUUUCUAACCAUGCUAGUUUGCCAUUUUUCCCCCCAUACUAUGCUCGAAAGGAAAUUUACUGGGAAAACUUGUGGGGAUAAAAAGAUUAAUAAUUUUACUGAAAUUUUAUUUUUUUAUAAAAACAUUUCUUGAAAAUAUCUCAUUCAUUAAAUUAAAUAUUAGAUCAUGUUAAUUAGUGGGUUUCACAAACCCAAUAUUUAUAAUCUUUCAAUCAUAAUUAUAAGAUCUGGAUUGGUUCAGGAUUUGAAUUAUGGGUUGGCCAAAUUAACUAAUGAAUCAGUAUAUCAACUUGGAUUGAUAUGGGAUUUUUUAUGUCAUUUUAUGAAAUAAUAUUAUUUUGAGUUGGAUUUCACUUAGGUCAAGGGUUGAUUUAUUAGACCAUCCAUUUAACCAAGUUAACUUUUUAGAUGAUUUAAGAAUAAACCCAACCCGAUUUAAACUAGGAUAGAGUUUCGUCACUAUGCUUUUAAAAGAAGUGAUUUUGGAAAACGUUUUCGGCAUUAAAAUUUGUAAACGUUAAAAAUAGACUAUCUAAUGACUACAAUUGGCCCUGUUCUCUGGAGUAAAAUCUUCAAACUAAAAUACUUCCAAGACUUAAAAGACCUGGAGAUUUGACUUCGAAAGAAAGGAGAUUAACCAUUUGAAGAGAAGUUUUAUUGUAUUAUAGAAAUAAUUCAUAAAGAAGCAUAAUUUAUUCAACUCGAAGAAGAUAACGGAUAGAAAAUCAAGAUGGGCGACGUCCAUUACAUAAUGUGGUGGUUCCUUGUUAGAACCAACUCAUGAUUUUUCACCAAAUGCUCUAUUAAUUAUACUAGGGAUAACAGAUUGGCAGCUUAUUGAUACAAAUUAUAUAGAUUGAUGACAAUCGUGGCCAUGAAAAAUGGUGCAAUUUUCACGAGAAAAGCUUGGACACGGACAAGGUAAGAAUUUCAGCUUCAACAAUUAAAGUGUCAUUCAUAACAUAGCCCUUGGAGACUUCAUGGAGAUCUCCCAGUGGCAUGAACUUGCGGAAACCACGUGAAUGGUCGGAGGAGGUUAACCAACGUGAAACUGCAAGAAAAUAAUUUGUGAGAAACCUUAGUCAAUAAGAAGUUCAAUAACUAAAACUGGCAAAGAUGGAAAACUUUUCAUGCCUGUAAGCAGCCGUAGAGAACACAACUACUGGAGGCAGCAUGAGUAGUAAUGUUAAUUUUCCAAAAAUAUUGUUCUUGACAUUACUUCUUAAAAAAUCUCAUGCAUUUAAGUAUAUCUAACAAAAAACCUAUAUGCAUCUAUCCGCUCUGCCCUUUCUUGAAUUGGGAUUCUUAAAGUAGGGAGAACAUGUUUAGUAAUAAAGAAGCUGGUCUUAUGGGGUGGUUUACUUGUUUUUUCGACAUGUUUGUCAUGGCGUUGGUCCAAAACUCGUAGCUUGUAUUCUGCCCACACAGUUUUCUUUGGUGGAAGUUUACCACCAUCAACUAGUUCCAGGAAUACAGACAGUGAAUCUCCCUUUGCUUCAGCGAUUCCUUUGGGAUAAACUUGUAUUCUCCUGAAACGAUGGGAAGAGCCAAAAUUAACGACAAAACUCAAUAGUGGUUCUGAAAUAGAAACGUUUGUGAUUACAAGGCAGCAUACCAACUUCUGCCUCCGGCAGUAAAGGCUUUGGAUAAAUAUGAGCUCUUAUCUAAUUUAGAGAAAUCUUCAAUCUUCCAUGUUAAAGAACCAUUUGCAGGUUUCUUAACCAUAGAAAGUAAUUCCCAUUUGCCAGUUGGUUCGAUAACAAAAAUCUCAGCUCCAAAAACACAGCCGUCGUUGAAAAGAUAUCCAUUAGAAGCAUCAUUGAAUGUUUCAAGGGAAAGCAAUUGAUCAAAACCCCAUUCGGUCUUCAUCUCAUUAAAACGUUUUACUGAUGCAUCCGAUUCUGCAAAACAGUGGUUCUCCAUUUAAAUUCAAGAAUAUAAAGACAAGAAAGUAAAAAGAUUUGCAGUGUUGCACAUAUUAUUAGUAAAAGAAUCUACCUUGGACAGUCAAAUAUUUGUUAUUUAUCUGAUCAAACACAAACAAUUUGAAUUCGGCGUUGACCUCCCACCGAUGAGGAAGAUUGCUUCUAUUUUCUAUUUGCAGGUAAAGGGAAACAAAGCCAUUCCCUUUUCCUUUUGUGUUUCCAUUUGGGUAAAGACUCAAGCUCCUGGAAACAAGAAAAAUUAUCAGUUGAUGAAUAGCCUAAUUAUCAUCUAACUGAACAUUUAUUUUGCACGUAUAGAAUCAAGUAUUAGUCAAAGGAAGGUGGUGAGAAUCAACAAACCAUUUGUGGCCUCCGGCUUCAAAAACAUCAGAUUCAUACUUUUCGACUUUUGUCUUCAGAAGUAAGGAGAAUGACUCUAUCUUGAGGGUGUAAUGCAUUGGAGGUAGAUCUCUUUUGGAUCUUGUGAGUCCUGAAAAAGAAAAGGAAACAUUUUGGAGGCUGAAAACUCAUCUAUGAUUAACGAGAAACCAGCGGCA